AUGGUCAAUCUACCCUCGAGAAAGCGAUAACCCCGGGAAACUGGGGAUAAUAGCUUAUAGACGACCAACUCUGGAACGGGUGGUCAUCGAAAUGGUACGCAGGCAUGCCUGUGUACUGCUUGAGGAUGAGACUGUGUUCCAUCAGGUAGUUGGCGAGGUAACGGCUCGCCAAGCCGAUAACGGAUACGGGCAGUGAGAGCUGAAGCCCGGAGAUGGGCACUGAGACAAGGGCCCAGGCCCUACGGGGCGCACCAGGCGAGAAACCUCAUCAAUGCGGGCAACCGUGAAUGGGCCAUCCCGAGUGCCAGCCGCUGAGGUUGGCUUUUCCUCAGAGUAGUAAUCUGAGGGAAUAAGCGGGGGGCAAGACUGGUGUCAGCCGCCGCGGUAAUACCAGCUCCGCGAGUUGUCGGGACGAUUAUUGAGCCUAAAGCGCUCGUAGCCGGCUCGGCUAGUCCUGUGCUAAAUUCAACGGCUUAACCGUUGAGCCGCAUGGGAUACUGCUGGGCUAGGGAGCGGAAGAGGCCAGGGGUACUCCCGGGGUAGGGGCGAAAUCCUAUAAUCCCGGGAGGACGACCAGUGGCGAAGGCGCCUGGCUAGGACGCGUCCGACGGUGAGGGGCGAAAGCUGGGGGAGCGAACCGGAUUAGAUACCCGGGUAGUCCCAGCUGUAAACUAUGCGGACUGGGUGUCGGUACGGCUUCGAGCCGUGCCGGUGCCUCAGGGAAGCCGUUAAGUCCGCCGCUUGGGGAGUACGGUCGCAAGACUGAAACUUAAAGGAAUUGGCGGGGGAGCACCACAAGGGGUGAAGCCUGCGGCUCAAUUGGAGUCAACGCCG
rnacentral:rRNA from 1 species